CAGCUAAGAUGCUACAAAUUCAAUGACAAGAUCAAAAUCUUUGAUACAGCAGGAUUUGAAUUGGAGAAAACAGUAAAUACCAUGAUAAUAUUAAAGAAGAUCAUAGAUGGUGAAGUGGCUGAAGGCUCAAAGUUUGAUGAUAUUCUGAAAACAAAAAGCUUAAUGGAAGGAGACAAAAUCCACUGUGUUGUGUUGGUUAUAUCAAUUCAUAGCGCUGAAAAUGUGGACCCAGCCUUGAUUCGGUUUUAUGAAGAAUUAAUUGGAAUGCUCACAGAGACUGGAGUACCAUGCCAGCUGCUUGUUACAUUCAUUGAUAAACUUGUCGAGAAGACUGAGGAUUUGGAAAAUCUGUACAG